rfam:Myotis davidii contig135830, whole genome shotgun sequence.
GGGGAGGGCGGAGUGGAGCUGGCUGCCGGGGCACCCAGUGCGGGCGCGGGAGGGAAGGAAUGAGGUGGAGGUGGGUGUGGCGGAGCGGGGCCCAGGGAGCUGUGGGUUUUUCUUGGGGCCCAGAGAACCCCGAGCAGAGGCGGAGGCCCCUCUCCCGCCGCCCGGCACACACUGGGACCUUUCUUUG